rfam:Arabis alpina cultivar Pajares Aa.chr2_contig_1171, whole genome shotgun sequence.
AAAUCAUGGUUAGGGAAGUCCCUAGUGUACUCCUUGAAACAUUCCAAUGCUUCAAAGAAUGACUCUGUGGCUCCUUGCUUGAAACUUGAGAUUUUGUUCCUCAUGGAACU